rnacentral:rRNA from 1 species
GACGAACGCUGGCGGCGUGCAUAACACAUGCAAGUCGAACGGUAAGGCCCUUCGGGGUACACGAGUGGCGAACGGGUGAGUAACACGUGGGUGAUCUGCCCUGCACUUCGGGAUAAGCCUGGGAAACUGGGUCUAAUACCGGAUAGGACCACUGCCUGCAUGGGUGGUGGUGGAGAGCUUUUGCGGUGUGGGAUGGGCCCGCGGCCUAUCAGCUUGUUGGUGGGGUGAUGGCCUACCAAGGCGACGACGGGUAGCCGGCCUGAGAGGGUGACCGGCCACACUGGGACUGAGAUACGGCCCAGACUCCUACGGGAGGCAGCAGUGGGGAAUAUUGCACAAUGGGCGCAAGCCUGAUGCAGCGACGCCGCGUGAGGGAUGACGGCCUUCGGGUUGUAAACCUCUUUCAGCACCGACGAAGCGCAAGUGACGGUAGGUGCAGAAGAAGGACCGGCCAACUACGUGCCAGCCGCCGCAGUAA